rnacentral:rRNA from 1 species
GUAAGGAAUAUUGGUCAAUGGACGAAAGUCUGAACCAGCCAUGCCGCGUGAAGGAUGAAGGCCCUCUGGGUUGUAAACUUCUUUUAUAGGGGACGAAAAAAGGGAAUUCCUUCCCACUUGACGGUACCCUAGGAAUAAGCACCGGCUAACUCCGUGCCAGCAGCCGCGGUAAUACGGAGGGUGCAAGCGUUAUCCGGAUUCACUGGGUUUAAAGGGUGCGUAGGUGGGCAGUUAAGUCAGUGGUGAAAUCUCCGGGCUUAACCCGGAAACUGCCAUUGAUACUAUCUGUCUUGAAUAUCCUGGAGGUGAGCGGAAUAUGUCAUGUAGCGGUGAAAUGCUUAGAUAUGACAUAGAACACCGAUUGCGAAGGCAGCUCGCUACGGGAUUAUUGACACUGAGGCACGAAAGCGUGGGGAUCAAACAGGAUUAGAAACCCCAGUAGUCC